GAUUUCUGACUUGUGCGUACUAACCCGGCCAGGUUACUGGUUUCGAGUGUUGGUGCUGCUGAGUCAUCCUUGGGUUGUGUUGGUCUGGCCUUUGAUUAGGUUUGGAUCAGUGCUUCCCAUCUUUUACUUUGAACAAAUUAGAGUGUUUCAAGCAGGCAUCUGCUCUGAAUACAUUAGCAUGGAAUAAUCACUUAGGACUUCGGUUCUAUUUCGUUGGUUUCGAGAGCUGAAGUAAUGAUUGAUAGGGAUAGUUGGGGGUGCUAGUAUUCAGUGGCCAGAGGUGAAAUUCUUGGAUUCACUGAAGACUAACUUAUGCGAAAGCAUU
rnacentral:rRNA from 1 species